UUAAAGUUAUACCCAUUUAAGAUAAAUUUUGUUCGACAAAAAUAACCAAUUAUUACAUUUUUAUUCAUAAUUUCAUAAACACCCCUAACCUUUCAUCUCCCUUUAUCUCUAAAACCAAUCUCUAACCCUAUCAAUCUAACCCCACUCCCUCCUCCUCUGUCUUUACUCUCAAACCCAUUUUUAAAAACCCAUCUAUAUACAAGAAUUGCAGCCCUGGAUGAGUGGGAAGAAGCAUAGCUGGAAAUGAACAAGUUGCAAGGGAAGGAGCUCAAGCUCCAAUCCAAUUGCUUCAAGUAAUUGCUGGUGUAAUGAACAUUGGUGACAUGUUUACCAAAAAGAUUUGCAACUUUGGCGACAAUCAAGUCAUUGAAAACAAGGGCAGAGGUCAAUAACUGUGCAUGAAUUUUCUUGAAGGAUCUUAAGUCCUUACAUUUAUCAAUGGGUCGGUCAUCUGUUCAAUCUGAAAUGGUCGACGGCAAAGAGAGGGUAAGGGGAUGGAAGGGAUGGUGGUGGGAGAAGGGGAUGGUGAGGUUGGAGAGUAAAGACAGAGGAGGAGGGAGCGGGGUUAGAUUGAUAGGGUUAGGGUUUGGUUGUAGAGAUAAAGGGAGAUGAAUGGUUAGGAGUGUUUAUGAAAUUAUGAACAAAAAUGUAAUAAUUGGUUAUUUUUGUCGAACAAAACUUAUCUUACAUGGGUAUAAUUUUAAUUUUAA